UACCUCACAGAGUAUAUUAAUACCUCUUAAGGAUCUCUUCAGGAUCGGUGUACCGGGAUGGUUGUUGCUAAUGUGACUACAUGACGUUAACUGCCUGUCGGUCUGUUGUUGAGCGGCUGGUAUCACCCCUCCCCCAUUAUCCCCCAUGUUGUUCCACCUCCUUGUGGGAGGAGCCAGGCGAGGCCACAGAUCAGAGUACAUUAAUAACUCUUAAGGAUCUCUUCAGGAUCGGUGUACCGGGAUGGUUGUUGCUAAUGUGACAACAUGACGUUGUAAGUAACAGUAAACUUUACAGGACAUGUCUUGUAUGGACAGAAAACAUUCUUGUUAACCUUUAUACGAGGUGUUGGACGCUAACAAUUCAUUAAAAAUCCUACGAUGUGAUUUUCUGGAUUUCUUCUCCUCAUUUUGUGUCAGCGUUGAAGUGUACCUAUGAUGAAAAUUACAGGCCUCUCUCAUAUUUUUAAGUGGGAGAACUUGCACAAUUGGUGGCUGACUAAAUACUUUUUUGCCCCACUCUAUGCAUAUCCUAGUUUCUGGGCUGAAUAGCAGGCAGUUUACCUUGGGCUUUUCAUCCGGUGGUGAAAAUAGUGCCCCCUAACCUAGUGAGGUUAAUCUAACUGCACUGUCCAAUUUACAGUAGCUAUUACAGUGGAAUAAUACUAUUGUUUGGUGAGAGUAGAAAAACAUGUUAUAGCAGCAACUGGUUUGAUACAUUCACCUCUUGUCAUGUCCUGACCUUGGUUCCUUGUUUUUGUCUCUAUUUUAGGUUGGUCAGGGCAUAUUUUAGGUUGGUCAGGGCGUGAGUUGGGGUGGGCAUUCUAUGUUUGGCCUGGUAUGGCUCUCAAUCAGAGGUAGCUGUCAAUCGUUGUCCCUGAUUGAGGACCAUACUUAGGCAGCCUGUUUUUCCCACUUGAGUUGUGAGUGAUUAUUUUCUGUUUAGUGUUUUGUUGCACCUUGCAGAACUGUUCGUUGUGUCGGUUUGUUGUUUUUUUGUUCAAGUAUUCAUCUUCAUUAAACUCAUUAUGAAUACGCUGCACUUUGG